AUUAUAGUCCGGGAGGUAGCGUUGCAAAUGCAAAAGUCAUAGUAAGCCGGCUGAUAUUAACAUCGAUAGUUGAUCUUAUAUGACUAAUAAGUGAACCGACCGUCAGCUGCUCAAGUAGCGGUGGGUGCGGGUGUAGGAGGCUGCGAAAGAGGUGCGCCAGCUGACGCUUGAUUCAGUUAUAAGUA